AUUCACUGAGUUAGCUACAAUUACUAGAAUUAUCGCUUGUUGUAACGUACCGCCACACCAUACCUAUGACUUCCCCUUGCCAAGAAACUGGCUGUAAAAGAAGACAGCAAGCCAAAACGCGGCUUUCUAUAUCAGGUGCUACAGCAUUUCUGAAGAGGCACGUCAUUAUUCUUUAUUCGGUUCUAGGAUAUAAAAGCCUGAGCAGAUAUGGGAUGUUACAGGGCAUGAUCAUUUUUCAGUGUUACUGAAGUGAAUUUAAAAACAAUAUUAAAAAAGUUUACACCAGAACAACGGGAGAAGAUUAUCUUUUCAACUGGUAUUGGUUCAUUUUGGACACAUUUAAAGGAUGGGUGUCAAACUGCUCCUGUUGGUUUUCCUUAUUUUGACAGUGGUAUAUACAACUACGACCACAACUACUACAGCAAUUACAACCACAGCCCCAACAACAAUAACGACAACCACUGCAGCCCCGACAACCACGACCACUGCAGCAACUACAA